AGGCCGCGAUGGAUGCAGAGAACCCUCUUGCCUUGAUUUUACUGAGGCGUUUCCACUUGAACCAAACUGAUGGUGGAACGUAAUCCAAACAGAGCUUUUAAAGGAAAAUGAAUGUGCGUAAUAAAGACAGAUCCUAAUGGUGAUUCGGGAUUAUAAAAUAGCUACUAGUGUGGAAAAAGAGCCCUCUUCACAGAGGAGUCCUCGUCCUGCAGGGUGUGGGAAUGCAGGCCGGAUAAAUCACAGAAGAAUCCACGCAAAGGCUUGGGAGCAAAUCUGUGAUAUGUUCACAUUUACAAGAAUGCAACAGCUGUGUUUUCUUCCAUCCUCAGAACUUUACUCCUACUUUCUAUUCCAGCGUCUAUAAAUAAAGUAAUAAGAAAGUU